UGCCAGCCGCCGCGGUAAUACGGAGGGUACGAGCGUUGUUCGGAAUUACUGGGCGUAAAGCGCGUGUAGGCGGCCGUACAAGUCGGGUGUGAAAUCCCGGGGCUCAACCCCGGAACUGCACCCGAAACUGUAUGGCUAGAGUCCCGGAGGGGGUGGCGGAAUUUCCGGUGUAGUAGUAAAAUGCGUUAAUAUCAGUAGGAACACCAAAUGCGAAAGCAUGUUGCUGGAACACACCUGACGCUCAGGGACGAAAGCGUAGGUAGCGAAUCGGAUUAGAUAC
rnacentral:rRNA from 1 species